rnacentral:rRNA from 1 species
UACGGAGGGGGCUAGCGUUGUUCGGAAUUACUGGGCGUAAAGGGCGCGUAGGCGGCGCGAUAAGUUGGGCGUGAAAGGCCCGGGCUCAACCCGGGGACUGCGCUUGAUACUGUCGCGCUGUGAGUCCGGGAGAGGGGGGUGGAAUUCCCAGUGUAGCGGUGAAAUGCGUAGAUAUUGGGAGGAACACCGGUGGCGAAGGCGGCCCCCUGGACCGGUACUGACGCUGAGGCGCGAAAGCGUGGGUAGCAAACGGG